UUCGUUUAGACGUCUACUGAAGAUUCCUCAGGCAAACUUUAUCCUUCUAAAGCAUCUCAUUUGGUAUUAGUAAUAAUAAGAGACUCAUCCACGAAUAAUUUAGACACUAACAGGUUAUCUAUCCGGAUAGCUCCUUAUGUUUUGUGGGAUCAGACUACAAAGGAUGCAUGGUUUGGGAGUGAUGUAUCAAGAAAGAUGUCCAUUAUACAAAUCAUGAUCGACAACUAUCAUCAAAUAUUUGGAAAUGAUAAUAUAUUUUAUAAAUGUAUUGACAGAAGAUCUGAGGAUUUAAAGACUUGUGAAGAUUCAAUAAAAUCUUCUGGCAAAUCACCUAUUAUGAAAGAAUUCCUAGCUGGCCACAACAAGAAAACAUGCGAUAAUGGUGAAAAAUUAAAAAUUUCAUCCAUUGCUCUGCAGGAGGAAGGUCCUACAGGACAGAACAGAACAACUACCACAUAUAAGUGGUAGAAGAUGACUGAAGACAUUAUAAGGUCAUUCUAUUUUAAUGUUCCCUUCUACCUUCCACUUAAUCAUAGCAGAACAAUUAUUACAACAUCCUGCUUCAGCAUUCAUAUGCUAUCAUAAUAAAUGUUAUAAUAAAUAAAAGUGUUAUUGCUUACACUCCAAUGUGCCUUGAUCAUGAUU